CACUGAGCAAGGCCAGGGAUGGAACCUGCAUCCUCAUGGAUCCUAGUCGGAACAAGUAAUUAAGACGACACUUGUGAGCUCUAAUUUGGAUCACACGUACAUGGAUGUGUUAGGAGCUGCAAGCCAAAACAUGCAAAACCAGCCUUUCAUCGAGGAGAAAAGGAAAAGUCUGGAAUGCAAGGGAACACCGGGGAGCCGAACGCGGCUGUGUGAACCAGAACCCACUGCUGACGGCCCAUCCCGUUAGAGCCCGCGCCUUUGGCUACACCCGCGUGCGGCCCGGGGCCGUGGGGGCUGUGUCAUGCCACGCAGCGGACCUGGAGCUGGUGAUGGGUCCCUCAGCUCAGAGCUCGCCAGCACGAGGAACUGGGGUCUGCCUGCCUGUCCGUCCGUCCGUCUGUCGCCUUCCCAAGCUGCACGGAGCCCCGGUGGAGCACGGUGUCAGGGACAGAGGCACGUCUGGCCUAGCUGAGCCCUUGUGGUCAAUCUGCCAAGCCUCGGGCUCCGAAGCAGAGGCCCAGGGGCAGGGGUGGCGGUGGGGAGCAGUGGCCAAGCCCCCUGGGAACCUGCAGGUUGCCUCUGAGCCACAGGGCUGUUGUGGCCCGGGGUCUGACCUAGAGUCGCGACCAGAUGGUCACGCGGGCGUGCAGUGUACAUCUGGGGACCAGAGCCACGUAAGGAACAAGAACGCCUCCAUGCAGGUUGGAUGAGGCUUGGGCGGUGGGCAACCUUGGAGAAGGUUCUGUCACGAAUGGUUUCACCUCGGCCGAGAGGGCGCCAGGGUCCAGGGUGCGCCGACGGCCCCCACCCCGCCCUGCCCCCCGUGACCGGUGCGUGUCCAGCCGGCCAGUGCAAAUCAGCACAACAGAUCACGGUACCCGAAGUGAAAUUCACAGACAAGAAAUACUUUAAUUAAAUAUUGUGUAAAAUGAACAUUUUUAUACAGUUAAAUAUCUGAAAAAAUGUACAGAUAAAACAAUCUUAUUGUAGGGUCUUUAACAGUAAAAUCUACCAUUUAGUGGCGCUCUCGGUUUUGAGACAAUGAAGCCAUGAGGGCGACUAAUUCACCUAAAACACAAACCAAGUGCAGGGGCGGAAAGACUUGCAAACGUCCCUAACGUGGACACGGGAGCUCGCUUUCUGGGGUCAGACCCUUCCUCAGACAAAAUUAAACGGAGGCAAUUUAGUUCCAAAGUGACUUCUCAGGCUCGUCACGGGGCCAGAGUGUGACCCGCCCACCCCGGGGGACGUUCGGAUCCUUUGAUUUCGUCCUCACAUGGACCCUCUCUUAAGUCCUGUGUUGUUUUACUGGGGGUUUUGUCAAGAAAGUUUGAAAAAGUCCCUCCUUUUUGUUGGAGAUCUGAUUUCUGCUGCAGUCUGCCAGAUGCUGGCUGUGCCGUGUCUGCCAAGGGAAGGGAACACAGCCGACCCGCUUGGUCUCACCGUGGGUUUGGCACGAAUAGGUCGAGCGUCUGAAGGAGGUCCUUCCCGUUGAAAAGGGACAGGCAGUGUGCUGUGGGGUUGAUCACAGCAAAAGUUAAAAAGGAAUUUUCAAUGAGGGGCCGAGGCGGGUCCCCAGAAACCUCUCUGCCUCUGAGCUGGGCCUGGGAGAAGGCAGGAUGCAGCAGAACCAGGCCCAGGAGGGAGGACUUGUGGAUCACCGGGCUUGUGCUUUUGUGUGUGUGUGUGUGUGUGUGUGUGUGUUUACACCAUAACUCUCCAAAUGAAAUAUUGAUUAACAAUUGUGGUAUAAGCCUGUGAUAAAAUAGCACAAAGGUUCCUUAAAGAAGUCCACUUUUAAGGCAUCAGAGAAGUUCAUGUGGCAAACAUUUUAAUUAAAACAUCAGAAGUAAAUUUUAUUUUAAACUUUAGGCCUCUGAAUUCUUCCAGUAAACACAGUUCAGCUAUGUGGCAAAGUCAUGAGUGGCAGCUAAAAUGACUUUUUACAUUCUACAAAAAAAAAAAAUAAAAAUAAAAAUAAAACGAAUAAAAUAAGGACACAGCCCCAAACGGUGUCGCCUCUUCGUGGCCGUUUCACAUGCACGGAUUCUACUAGGAUUUGUCACAGCCGGGGGGGGGCACCGUUAUGUUUUGACUAUACAACGAACUUUUUUUUUUUUCUUCAAAAGUAUUUGUUCAGAUAACUUAAAAAUAAUAUAAAAAUAAACAAUGAAUUUGACUUUUCCUCAAAAUAAAAAAAAAAAAAGGACGGGAAGUCUAAACAAAGACAAAUUUGGGAAGGACAAAGGAAAUGCAGGGACGCUGGUUCAGCGAACGAAACAGAUCAAACAGACAGUUCUUGGCUUAAUGCUCUUGUCCCAGCAUCGCAACACCAGGCCAUGAUCGAAAAACCGAUACAGACAAGAAAAAAAAAAAAAA